rnacentral:sRNA from 1 species
GUGAAGGUAGACAGACAGCCUCCUUCCUGCUGCCAGUUGGGACCUGGGCCAGGCAGAUGGCAGGUUGAAAUGGCUGAUGACAUCACUGGUUCCCGGGAGCGGUAGAGCUGGAGCCGGAGCCGAGGGAGUCCAGGCUGCCGGGGGCUGCAGAUAUGGAGGGCCGGAGCAGCAGGGGCAGCAGGAGGCCAGGGACCCGGGCUGGCCUGGGUUCCCUGCCUAUGCCCCAGGGUGUUGCCCAAACUGGGGCACCCUCCAAGGUUGGGGAGAAAGUGGAGGAUGUAAGAGGGCACAACCUGGGCACAGAGAGAUGUGACACCAGGAUCAACUUAGAAUCUUGGACUUGCUCUGAAUACUAGAUUCACACUUGACAGAGAAACUGAGGCCCUGGGCAGAGAGGUACUUGCCUAAGGUCACACAGAGCUGGGCUUUGAAUCUACACAGCCAGUCUCAGCUCCCAGCUCUUGCUCCUGAGUGGAGCUCUGGGAAUGGGUGGACUCAAGUUUUCAGCUCCCAGCAAAGAAGAACG